rnacentral:rRNA from 1 species
CCUACGGGAGGCAGCAGUGAGGAAUAUUGGUCAAUGGGAGAGAUCCUGAACCAGCCAAGCCGCGUGAGGGAAGACGGCCCUAUGGGUUGUAAACCUCUUUUGUCGGAGAACAAAACCCGGGACGAGUCCCGGACUGCGUGUAUCCGAAGAAAAAGCAUCGGCUAACUCCGUGCCAGCAGCCGCGGUAAUACGGAGGAUGCGAGCGUUAUCCGGAUUUAUUGGGUUUAAAGGGUGCGUAGGCGGUCUGUUAAGUCAGCGGUAAAAGUGCGGGGCUCAACCCCGUCGAGCCGUUGAAACUGGCAGACUUGAGUUGGCGAGAAGUACGCGGAAUGCGCGGUGUAGCGGUGAAAUGCAUAGAUAUCGCGCAGAACUCCGAUUGCGAAGGCAGCGUACCGGCGCCAGACUGACGCUGAGGCACGAAAGCGUGGGGAUCGAACAGGAUUAGAUACCCGAGUAGUC